UCUUUAUAUUUUAUUUAUUAAUUUUAAUAUAGAAAUUUUUAUUUUUUAAUAAUAAAAAUAUUUUAUUGGGGUAAUAAAAAGAUUAAUUAAAUUCUUUUUAAAAAGUUACAUUAAUUUAUGGUUAAGUGAUCCAAUUUUUUUGAUUAUAAGAUUAAGU
rnacentral:rRNA from 1 species